GACGAACGCUGGCGGCGUGCUUAACACAUGCAAGUCGAACGGAAAGGCCCUGCUUUUGUGGGGUGCUCGAGUGGCGAACGGGUGAGUAACACGUGAGUAACCUGCCCUUGACUUUGGGAUAACUUCAGGAAACUGGGGCUAAUACCGGAUAGGAGCUCCUGCUGCAUGGUGGGGGUUGGAAAGUUUCGGCGGUUGGGGAUGGACUCGCGGCUUAUCAGCUUGUUGGUGGGGUAGUGGCUUACCAAGGCUUUGACGGGUAGCCGGCCUGAGAGGGUGACCGGCCACAUUGGGACUGAGAAACGGCCCAGAAUCCCACGGGAGGCAGCAGGGGGGAAUAUUGCAAAAUGGGCCGAAGCCUGAUGCAGCAACGCCGCGUGCGGGAUGACGGCCUUCGGGUUGUAAACCGCUUUCGCCUGUGACGAAGCGUGAGUGACGGUAAUGGGUAAAGAAGCACCGGCUAACUACGUG
rnacentral:rRNA from 1 species